UACGUAGGGACCAAGCGUUGUUCGGAUUUACUGGGCGUAAAGGGCGCGUAGGCGGCCUGACAAGUCACUUGUGAAAUCUCCGGGCUUAACUCGGAACGGCCAAGUGAAACUGUUAGGCUAGAGUGCAGAAGGGGCAAUCGGAAUUCUUGGUGUAGCGGUGAAAUGCGUAGAUAUCAAGAGGAACACCUGAGGUGAAGACGGGUUGCUGGGCUGACACUGACGCUGAGGCGCGAAAGCCAGGGGAGCAAACGGG
rnacentral:rRNA from 1 species